CCCGAAGUUAUUUGUAUCAUGACUCUUAAAAGUUCUCAUCUAAGCAUCUGCCCUUUUAUGGGCACUUCGUUUUUUGAAGGCAGAGUUUUUAAAAUAUCAAUACAACCAUGUUUUGGAUUCAGGGAAGCUCUUUUUUUCCCGUUAUAAAAACAAGCAUUGAAUACCGAUCUCUUAGAUUACGACAUUGUAAAUGCACUAGAUGCACCAGUAAAGUAUUCGAUGGGAGAGUCUUGAGCUUUCUUAGAUGACCCAGAAUGCCUUGGUCGAUGAACUCCGGAGCUAGUCUCCUUUGGCACCUCCCCUUCAAUGGUUGCGAAGCUAGUAUAGAAACUGCUAUUGUCCAAUUUCCACUUGAAAUACAAGCAGAAAUCGUCGUCGUCUUCAUCAUCAUCAUCAUGUACCGGAAUCCACUGUUGUCCCUGUAGCAUCUCUACCACUGCAAAUGUGCCUUCUGUUAACAGAUCAUUCCUCGGGUUAGCACUCCAAGAUGUGGCACUCGGUCUAUCCCCUUUUUUGAAUGAGCCACCUUUUGGUUUUACUAAUAUCUUGUUUGAUGUCACCAAACUUCUUAUCACUUGGAAGCGAGUCUCGAAAUGGAUCAGCUAAGAGUUGAGUACUUUUGAGGAAAGAUGAGGUGGUGACCAGUCUGCUGGCUGAAGGACACCCCAUCCCUUUGCCAUUGCUAGUGCUAGGUGGCUAAAUUCUUGUGUGCAUUCUGAUAAUGUGCGAGGACCAUAGAGUGUUGAAGCAGCCUCCACAAUUCAUUAAGAAUUGGCAAAGACAAACUAGCCUGGCUACUAUUACAACCUCUUCUUUUUAUCUCAGCAAGUGCAUACCUCGUAUCCUUGUUGUUCGUAUUCUUCGAAAGUUGCAGUAUACUGGGAGUAAGUGAACGUGGGUCUCCUCGUUAAAUUCUCCUCCUCCAUUACUUAUCAAUGUCUCCUUAACUGCCUCCCUCGGUCGUCGGCCAGCCAUUGUUGUCAGCUCCGCAAACGUCAAAAACCUGACAGCAUGUUUUAUGCACUAAUUGUAAAUUAAGUCGUUUGAUUGCUGAGGGAAAGAAAGCAAACCUCCUGGAACAGAAAGUAUAUAUGAUCAAUUUUCCCACUCUAAGUAUUUGAAAAGGAAUAACUUCUGGCUGCAUAAGAUUGAAGGAACAAUUAAUUGAAAAUACAUCUCUACUAGGCAAGUCAUAGUGGCAAAGGUUCCAAUGCAGUAUCUGAUACGGUAGUAACGGUUGGCGCUAUCUUUUCAGGGGAAAAAAUUCUUUGGUUAAAAUUAGUAUAUUAUUCAGUAAUGUUUUUAAUAGGCAAUAAAGCUUUCUAAAAAUGAGGAUAAGAUUUCCAUAAAAAGAAAAAAGAGGAUAAGGUACUGACCUCUGUAUCACACCUUGCUGUAACCCAAACAUGCCAGGCCCAUUUGUGGUUCCAGCAGCAAAACCUGGACCAAGGGGGCUGUAGGACAAGUCCUAACUUUGCUGUUUCCAUUAAAACUCCGCUACUAUUUGACUAAAGUUUUGGCGAUAUCGAUCUUUGCCUGUCAAAUCCUUGGUGGCAGACAUGAAUAAAUCAACGUCCCUGUUGAAUUGCCUCUCUCCAAUGAUAUUAGUCAUCAGUAUUUUGGCAUCAUUAUUUGUAUAUUUUAAAAAUAAUUUUAAAAAAUUUAAAUUUUUUUAAAAAGAAUUAAUUUUUUUUUAUUUUAGAUUAUUUUGAUAUGAAAAUAUAAAAAAUAAUUUUUAAAAAAUAAAAAAAUAAUAUUUUAAUAUAUUUUUAAAUAAAUUUUUUUAAAAAAAUAAUUGAUACUACAUUUCUAAAUAUAGUUUUAAAAUCCGGCCCGGCCAGGUUGAAGAAAAAACAAGGAAAGGAAAAACACUGCGUGACACGGCUGGUUGAUCCGGCGACCCAGUUAACCCGGCAAGACCCGGUCAAAAACCUGGUUGCAACCCGUUGACUUUUAUUUUUUUUACUAAAACAAUGUCGUUUUGAUUUUUUUAAAAAAAUUGAUCCAAUAACCCGAUCAAAAUCCGAAUCUUGAACCGGGCCGGCCACCUAACUGGGUCUAAAAACUAUGCUUCUAGACACUUUCUUCGCAUGAUUAUCUAGUAAAAUAAACCAUAUUGUCAAGUCUAAUGUUAUUGCUAUUAAAUGGCUCGUUUGAUCCUUAUGCUAAUUAAAUUUAUUACUUGAUUCUCAUGCUAAUCUAUUUGGUUUAAGAAAUCCUAUAUUAAGUUUUUAUAUUUAUUUGUAAUUUGAUCAUUUUGGUGGUUUCCAUGACAAUUUCUUAACGGUUUUUUUUUUAAAUGUCAUUUAUUUUUAAUCAAAUUUUCAAAUCUCACUUGAUAUAGAAAAUCUUGAAAUGAAUUAACAAGGAUACUUUAGAAAAUUUUAAAAAAAACAUUAGCAAUCAAAUUUUGUCAAGAAACUAACUUAAAUUUUCAAAACUAGAAGGACUGACUUCCAAAAUAAUUGAAAACAUAGGAACUAAAUUAUAAGUUAAAAAAAAAAUAAAGCGAGAUCUCUGGAAUAAUCCAUAUUCAGAGCAUCAUGAAGUUCUUUAUAGCUGGCACGUUACUAGCCUCAUUUUCUCUUUCGACUUUUACCAUUUUCUCUCGUGAGGCCAUGAUCAUUAAGACUUGCAAGCUGUGUUAUAGCAUAGCUUGCAAUUAAUUUUUAAUGCUGACUAAAGUGCAUAGAAACCUUUCAUUUCACUCCAAGUAUAUCUCUGUUUUGAAAAAAAUAAUCUUUUGAAAAAUAAGUUAUUUUUUAUUAUCUAGAUAGAUUAAAAAAAAUAAUUUAAUUAAAAUAAAAAAACACUUUUAAAAUAAAAAAAUAAACAAGCAAGUUGUAUCUAGCUUGUUGUUGAUUCUCUUCGAAUUCAAUCAAUGGCACCAUAAAAAUUAGUCUAAAACAAACAUCAUUUCUUGAUUCUCGCAUCAAGUUUCCGUUGAAAUCACCGCUUUCCGACCUCAAGCGGCUAUUUUUUCCACCCUGGACCCUAUUAGAUCCACCAUUUUUCUUCAAGUGCUGGAUGAGUUCUUCCUAAAGGUAACCGAAAGGAAAAGGAAAAGUGAUCCCAUCUGGACUCCAGUGCCAACGGUAUCAAUCAAUCAUCCACGAAGCCAAUAAAUAGAGGUGGGAUGAAUUUCUACCUCCCCGUAUGGCCCUUGUAGCGAAAUAUUUAUGGCAUUUUGGGUUCAUCCAUGGCUCGGGUGAUUUAAAAUUCCUUGACUCGGUCGAGAAUUCAAGUUGAUGUAUCUUAGUAGAAAAUUUGUUAGAUUUUUUUAAAAAUAAUAUUAUUUUUAUGUUUUAGAAUAAAAAAGAUAGAUUAGUGUUAACCCGGAUAAUCCUAUAAUCUGUGAUUUAAGAUUUAUCCGGGUCCCCAUGUGGGGUUUAAAAACAACGGCUUAUGGAGGAAACAGCUAAUCAGAGAAAUGUCCCUUUCUGUUUUUUCUUUCUCAUCUUUCUAUCCCUACCAGGAAGCUCUCGAAGAUUUCAGCACUGUAGCUCUCCUUCACCUGUCUUAAUCGAACCCUACACAUGUACACUCAUGGCAAUUUAGCUAUAAAUUAUUCUCUUUCGCAUCAAGAUGGAGUGUUCGGAUUGAAACUGUUUUUGGUUAAACUUUAAUUUUUUUAUUUUAAAUUAAGUUUUAAAAUAUUUUUUAUGUGUUGAUAUAAAAAUAAAUUUAAAAAAUAUUAGUUUAAUAUAUUUAUUUAAAAAACAACAUUUACUUUACACUCAAAAACACCUGUAAAUUUUGAUCUCGACAAUCAUGGAACGCCCGAGUCCCUUCGAAACCACUUGCUGACCAUGCCACAUUUCUCCGAGACUACCCCACCCAAUUAACAAUCAAAUUUUCUAGGCGCCGAAGAUUAAUGUGCGUGGAUUAGGAGCCAGCAUUGGCUUUGAUUCUUUCAUUUUUCUAAUGAAUAUAACCUCAAAUCACAGGAAUAAAGGGUGAGUGAUAUCAUGAACUUAUCCGACUUGAACUUUUGAUAAGUUCUCCAUGAAGUUAUUUUACAAUGCUGAAGUGGGCCUCAUGUGGGGUUAGAAGGCAUGAUCACUCUCCCCCACCACCACAUUCAACACAUCGAAUUAAGGCAAGAUGCAUGGAUCGAGUCUUCAAGAUCAUUUACAUGUAGACCAUGCUUUUGCCUUUUAAUUUCUUUUCUCUAUCUUGUAACUAUCAAAAGGAAGUAGAAACAAGGGAAAUAAUAAUUCAUUGAUUAUAGUUUAAAAAAGGGAUCAAAAUAACAAAAACAAAGGAAAUGAUCCUGAAAACAUGAGAUGUGAUCAAAACCCUAACAAUCUUACAUCAAAUUACAAGCACGUAUGGUCUUGUAAUAUUUGCAGUAAACCGAGCUUUUUUUUCUAAAAAGGAAGAAAAACAGUAGAUGGACAUAACCAAACAAGCCACACAUCAAGCAUCAUCAUCACCGUUCUAUAGAACACAAGAAUACUGCCUGCUGCCCUACUGGGAAGCACUCUCCUUUUCUUUCUCCUUCUCUUCUUCAGUCUUGGGGUGGUACCCAGGUAACUUCUCCUUGAUCUUCUCGAGUAGUCCCUUCUUCUCCUUGGCAUCUCCUUCAUGGGAAACUGCAGCUUCAGGGGAAACAUGUUCAGGAGCUGGAGGAGGGACCUCGUCAGCUUUCUUAUGUCCUGGCAAUUUCUCCUUGAUUUUGUCAAGGAAACCCUUCUUAUCCUCUGGUUCAUGGGGUGUCUCUGUAUGGACUACCUCGACAGGAACACUAGUAUCCUCGUGUUCCUUCUCCUCUCCUUUCUCUCCUGAUAUCUUCAUCUUCUCUUUCAAUGACCUCUUUUCCUUCUUCUUCUUCUUUUUCUCUUCAUCGUCACCUUCCUCCUCGUCGCUAGACUGCAUUUUUUAACACAUCAAAAAAUCUGUCAAUCUCAAGAAACACUUAACGGAAAAGACAACAAACAAAAUAAAUAAUGAGAUCGAUCCAUGGAUCGAGUUAGAAACUUACAGAGCUGGAAGAACUGCUGCCUGAUCGAUGGAGUUUCUCAAAGAGAGUAGGUUUCUUCUCCUCUUCCUCUUUUUUCUUGUGCUCUUCCUCUACUUUAGUCUCGGGUUCAGAAACCUGAAGUUUCUCUUCAAAUUCAGUACCAAUCACCUCCUCUUGAGGCUUCUCUUCUUCUUUCUUCCCCAGGAAAUCAAACAACCCGCGAUCCUUGGUCUCAACAGCACCACUCUCUUCACCAACUUUGGUCUCAUACUCAUGGCUCUUGUUUUCCUCAGCCAUACUGAUCAAAAUCACAAUAUGAACCUAAUCAAGAAAAGAUCAAAAUCACAACAGAGUAAUUAAAAUGAGUAAGCUUCUGCUUCGAGUGAUUUGCGCUU
rnacentral:lncRNA from 1 species